GAAAAUAAAGCAACAGUGUGAGUGUGAGGCAUGUAAGUCAGAAAGUGUUAAGCAUGCUUUGAUGGUCUGCAGAAAGAAACCUUAAGCAUAAUGAAUUGUCAGAGAUGGGCAUUACAGCUAAUCCUCAGCUUGGAUAAUUGGGAACGAUAAAUUCUUUAUCCAGGUUUCUGCAAACCUCCAGUCUUUACGUCAGGAAUUGAUUUUUGUUGGACUGACCUGAUGAGGGCAGUAUUACGCCUUUGACACCUCCAGCCUACCGUAAGUACAACAGAAGAAGAAUAGCGGCAAUGGCUUUCUAUCACGAUCCCGAGUUAAGUUUGAAGACGUUGAUUUGGCGGUAUCGGUUAUUGUUGAAAUAAUGUCUUCAAUUCAGCAUCUGAGAGAGUUUAUCAAGGAGAGAUUAACUACUGCCGCAGAAGAAAUCUUAUCAGAGUUUGAAAAAACGAUUGUCCGGUAUGAGGAGGAGAUUAGUCAGCUAAGACUGCUUGAUAUCAGACCCGGGAUAAAGUCACACAAUGCAGGUCUGGAUAAUCAGCAGGUCUGUGACCAGGAGAGGAGCUCAAGUCUCAACCAGGAGAACCCAGAUCCUCCACAGACUAAAGAAGAACAGGAGGAAAUGUGCAGCAGUGAGGAAGGACAGCAGCUUGAACUGAAGCAGGAGGAUGAAGGCAUUCAUGUCUGGACCGGAGAACAGCUGGAUUUCUUGUGUAAACCUGGAUUACGGCUGACCAGAAUAGACCUUCCAUAGCAACAUGAUUGUAAGGAAAAUGAGGAUCUGGAUGACCCGCAGGUCUGUAGCCAGGAGAGGAACUCCAGUCUGGACCAGCAGGACAAAGAUCCUCCACAGACUAAAGAGGAACAAGAGGAAAUCUCCACCAAUCAGGAAGAAGAGCAGCUUGCACUGAAGCAGGAAACCAAAGGCAUCAUCGUCUGGACCGGGCAGCAGCUGGGCAUCAUGUGGAACCCUGAAGUAAAGUUGCACAGAAUAGAUUUUCCGCAACAAGACUGUAAGGACGAAAACCCCCUUGUACUGAAGCAGGAUACUGAAACUUUUCCUGCUCAUGAAGAAAGUGACCACAGUGACCUGGAACCAAGCAGUGACCAGCUACUUUCUCAAAACCCUCUGGACACAGAUCAGGACGAAAGCAAGGAGUCAUACAGAAAUAAGUCAGAACAAAUCGUAUCAGGCCUGAAAGUUCAAAAUCACAAGACAGCACAUUUAUGUAGCACCUGUGGGAAAAAAUGUAAUAAGAUGGAAAAAUUGAAUCGACAUGAACAAAUUCACACAGGUGAGAAGCCACGUUCUUGUAGCAUCUGUGGAAAAAGAUUUAGCCAGAAGUCACAUUCGAAACAACACAUGCCAGUUCACACAGGUGAGAAACUACAUUCUUGUGGCACCUGUGGGAAAAGAUUUAGCAGGAAGUCAGUGUUGACUAGACACAUGCUAAUUCACACAGGUGAGAAGCAACAUUCUUGUCGCAUCUGUGGGAAUGGAUUUAGCCGGAAGGAACAUUUGAAUAGACACAUGGAAUUCCAUACAAAUGAAAAACAAUAUUCCUGUAGCACCCAUGGGAAAAGAUUUAAUGUAAAAUCAAAUUUGAAUAUACACAUGAGAAUUCGCAAAGGUAAAAAUAUUUACUCACAAAGGGCAGUUGAAGAGACACAUGUAAGAAACCACACCUGUGGCAAACAGUUUAGUUCUUCAGUACAGUUGAAAAUGCUGAAAAUGCAUAUAUGAAACCAUGGUACAUGCUAAAUGUUGAUGGUAGAACAGAAACAGUGUUUGGAUCAUUUAAAAAUGAACAUUUGGAAAAAAACUUCAUUUUCAAAACCUUUUUGGAAGCUCAGUUUCUGCUUUCACAUUUGGACAAGACAAACAGAGUUUGUCUCGCAGCAUAAAAUGUAUGCACCUUUGUCACCUUUUUCUGACGUCAUUGUUUUAUAGUUUAUUGGCUUUGUCUUGGCUGAAGUUUCUUCAUUUCCUUCGUCAUGGCCUUGACAGUGCUUGAGAUAUUUUUUGUGUCUUGAUGUAAAAAGAACUAUUUCUCAAAAACACAAUCGGAAAUAUCUGUAUAAAAAAUACUACACGUGUUCAUGAGGUAGCCUUAAUUAAAGUCAGUUGUUUAUCUGAAGUUCACAGUUUGAAGGUGUUUAAAGCAGCAAACAGCUGCAAUCACUUUUCGCUGACUUGCACACUGCCAGAACUCCUGUUGGUGUUCUUUUUUUUUUUUUUUAAUUAAAUUUAUACAUUGAAUUGACAUAUUUGGGAAGUGCUUUGUAUACAGAAAAGGAAUAUUUUCGGGAAUGACAACGUUAACCAGUUGAUCCAUUUACUCAUAUUGUUUGUGACCCACAUACUUAGGUUGUUUAUUCUCUAUGUUUAUAUCAUAACUUGCACUACUUUUAUGUGAGCACUGUUGAUACCCAGCUGUUGUUUUGUGAUAUAAUAAUUUGGACUAAUGUGUAACUUUAACAGUGUUCCAUUUUGAAAGGUUUGUGAUAUGUUAGUUGGUAGAAACUGAAACUGGAUUUGAAGAUGCACUUGGUAAUUAUUUUAUAUAUAUGUGAGUCACUUUGACGGCCCAAACUUUCCAAAGUUGUAGAAGCCCCUAAUUAGUGAAAUUUAUAGCUUACAUUUAGCAAUGCAAAUUGAUUUAAAGGCAUAAAAAAAUCUGUAGUAUUAAUUGCUUCUUACUGUAAGGCUGGCAUAACAGUCAUUAUUCCUGACCCUAUGAGCUGAACUCGGGCCAUAAACCUGUCAAAAAAACCACCUAUGAAAAUGAUGGAUGAAAAGGUCAUUGGAAGAAAGCCCAGAAAGUUAUGCAAGACAAAUGUUGAAUAUCAUAGAGGAAGCAAAGUUGUGUAAAUUGAUAUACUGGUCAAAGUGAGACAUUUAUAAACACAUUUAAUAGAUAAUUGUUUUUAAGAAAAAGAUUUUGACACAAUUGGGGAAAUAAAUCUAGUUUAAGAUGGAAUUAAAUAAGUUUAAAGAUAAAAUAUGGAUAGUUACAUAAUAAAGGAGGAGGAGCUGGUGACUCCUCUCCCAUAAAGGAGCUCAGAAGUGAACUGGGAGUCUUUGUCUUAAUUAAUUUUUGUUGGCUUUUUGGCCUGCAUGUGCUUAUGGCGAACACCCUAGAGGUCUUUGCUUUCUUUUAAGUUUCUGUUUAAGUUGUAUAUUCAAU